UUAACACAUGAAAGUCAGACGGGAAACAUGGGAAACGGUGUUUCCAGUGGCGGAAGGGUGAGUAACGCAUAAGAACCUACCCGUGGGAGGGGAACAACAGCCGGAAACGGCUGCUAAUACCCUGUAGGCAGAGGAGCAAGAGGAGGAAUUCGCCCGAGGAGGGGCUCGUGUCUGAUUAGCUUUAUUUACUUAGAUUUAUUGAAUUCAUGGAGGUUUUCUCCCUAGGGGGAGAUUGUGUACUCCGCUACUUGGUAGAUUGUGUGU
rnacentral:ncRNA from 1 species